UGCCAGCAGCCGCGGUAAGACGGAGGGUGCAAACGUUGUUCGGAAUCACCGGGCGUAAAGCGUGCGUAGGCGGUUCGUUAAGUCAAAUCUGAAAGCCCACAGUUUAACUGUGGAGGGUGAUUUGAAACUGGCGAGCUUGAGUACGGCAGAGGUUAGUGGAAUUCAAUGUGUAGCGGUGGAAUGCGUAGAUAUAUUGAGGAACACCAGUGGCGAAGGCGGCUAACUGGACCGGAACUGACGCUGAUGCACGAAAGCGUGGGUAGCAAACAGGAUUAGAUA
rnacentral:rRNA from 1 species